ensembl:misc_RNA Metazoa_SRP Metazoan signal recognition particle RNA
GCCGGGUGUGCUGCUGCACACCUGUAGUCCCAGUUACUCAGGAAGCUAAGGUGGGAGGAUCACUUGAGCCCAGGAGAUUGAGGCUGCAGUGAGCCAUGAUUGUGCCACUGCACUCCAGCCUGGGCAAUAGAGCGAGACCCUGUCUCUC